AAAAUAUGGAAGCGUGCGGGUACAGCAGCAUUCUGUACAUGAGUAUAUUUGAAUGUUUUAUUGUGUCAAUAAAGUAUAAGAAUAAAUAACAUUGGAGUAACUCCAAUAGCUUGGAGCUAACCUCAAUCAUGAAUAACAUUUGAAAAUUAAGUAUUUAGCGAUUAUUGGAUUAUUUAAGGCCAAUUAUUAAGGAUGAUGAUACUCUAACAAAAGUUGAAGUUAUAGAGAACUUUUCCAGUUCCAAAUUUAAAGACCAUUUUCAACGCUGCUGCCAUCAGAACUCAACAGCAAACAGCUCAUAUUGGAAACAAAUUAAAUUUUUAUAAUUCUUAAUAAAUAUUAUUUAUUUUAUUACUAAAUAAUUUACAAUUAAUUAUAAAUGUUAUUAAGACUCUUCA